GAUGAACGCUGGCGGCGUGCCUAAUACAUGCAAGUCGAGCGAACAGACGAGGAUCUUGCUCCUCUGACGUUAGCGGCGGACGGGUGAGUAACACGUGGAUAACCUACCUAUAAUACUGGGAUAACUUCGGGAAACCGGAGCUAAUACCGGAUAAUAUAUUGAACCGCAUGGUUCAGUAGUGAAAGACGGUUUUGCUGUCACUUGUAGAUGGAUCCUCGCCGCAUUAGCUAGUUGGUAUGGUAACGGCUUACCAAGGCAACGAUGCGUAGCCGACCUGAGAGGGUGAUCGGCCACACUGGAACUGAGACACGGUCCAGACUCCUACGGGAGGCAGCAGUAGGGAAUCUUCCGCAAUGGGCGAAAGCCUGACGGAGCAACGCCGCGUGAGUGAUGAAGGUCUUCGGAUCGUAAAACUGUGUUAUUAGGGAAGAAAAAAUGUGUAAGUAACUAUGCACGUCUUGACGGUACCUAAUCAGAAAGCCACGGCUAACUACGUG
rnacentral:rRNA from 1 species